UGAUCGAUCUGCCUGGUGGUCCACGCCUU
rnacentral:piRNA from 1 species